rnacentral:rRNA from 1 species
AGAGCGAACGCUGGCGGCAGGCCUAACACAUGCAAGUCGAGCGCCCGUAGCAAUACGGGAGCGGCAGACGGGAUAGUAACACGUGGGAACGCGCCCUUCGGUUCGGAAUAACUCAGGGAAACUUGAGCUAAUACCGGAUACGCCCUUACGGGGAAAGAUUUAUUGCCGAAGGAACGGCCCGCGUCCGAUUAGCUAGUUGGUGAGGUAAUGGCUCACCAAGGCUACGAUCGGUAGCUGGUCUGAGAGGAUGACCAGCAUCACUGGGACUGAGACACGGCCCAGACUCCUACGGGAGGCAGCAGUGGGGAAUAUGGACAAUGGGCGCAAGCCUGAUCCAGCCAUGCCGCGUGGAUGAUGAAGGCCUUAGGGUUGUAAAGUCCUUUUAACGGGGAAGAUAAUGACGGUACCCGUAGAAUAAGCCCCGGCUAACUUCGUGCCAGCAGCCGC